rnacentral:lncRNA from 1 species
UUUGGGAAACAUGUCAUCUGACUUGCACGUCCAGUUUAAGGUCAAUUUCUCUUCUAGAAAAUUCUGAAACAAUAUGGGAAACAUAGCUUUGUUUCUUAUAAUUUUAGGCAUAUAUCGCAUGCCACCAGGAAAAAUCGGGAAAGCCUUCAACUUUUCAUUUUCCUACAAUUGCACAAUCCUGAUGGGAAAACGACUUCUGUGAGAAUGAUUUUGAAAACUGGAACGUUUGGCUUUAUGGAAAAUUAUGAAAUUUGGAUACA